ensembl:lincRNA
CCGGACAUUACACCAUUCACAUUUAGUUAAAUCAGAGGUAUUUAAAAUAAUCUCUACAGGAUCACUUUCUGGUCCUAGAGGGAAACAGAGAAAAAUGAAAAAGGAACAAAUUUUUAAGGUGACAAACCAAAAAAUGGAGGAAAUAUAAGCUUAAAAUUAAUAAUUUACUAUACUCUAUACUACUCUUACUUUUUUGUUGUUGUUUUUUUUGUUUGUUUUUCGGGACAGGGUUUCUCUGUAUAGCCCUGGCUGUCCUGGAACUCACUUUGUAGACCAGGCUGGCCUCGAACUCAGAAAUCCGCCUGCCUCUGCCUCCCGAGUGCUGGGAUUAAAGGCGUGUGUCACCACUGCCCGGCUUACUCUAUACUAUUCUUAAGAACUGUAUUAAUAAAACAUAAUUUUUCCAAAUAAAAAGGAGACUCUAAAAUAUUAGGCUUAGUUGCAUUACAAAAUAAAAUUACAUGAAGCCCUUUAUACACUGUAUUAAUUAAAUAAAUAUUACUAUAAAAAGAAUCAGUAUAAACUUUAGUGCAUUAACAGAUAAAAAUAGCUUACCAUCUAGAUGUAUCGUGAUUGACUCUAAAGAAAACUUUAGAAACAAAAGGACAAAUUAGUGUUGAUGAUAGACAUAUUGAGAUUUUUGUUCUACAUACUCUAAGUGGUAUAUAUGGUCCAUAAGUAUACAAAGGGCAGAAAACUGAAUCAUAUACCAUGUGCUUAAAUUUAAGAUGAAAUAUCCCCAUCCCCUGAAAAAAAACCAAAACCUUCUGCUAUUUUGAACUUGAAUAUUACAGAACACUCAUUUCCUAGAUUCAUUAACUUAAUAUUUUCAUGUAUCUACUCUAUUACUGUUUAUAAAUUAUAUUUUUACUAAAAAAAAAAAAAAAGCCACAAAGCAGGCAGCAGUCAUUACUUCAUCCCUAAAUCCUUCGGCAUGAAGCCUCUAAAUACAAGCACAUUUGCUACACAACUAAAACAUCAGCAAAUCUAAGAGAUCAAAGUUGAACUUUUUCAAUAUACAGUUUAUACUUAAAUGUCCAUCAGUCCUUGUUUUAACUUUCCCUCAGCCAUUAUUACUGUGUCAAUAUUAUACAGCAAAUACCAACUGUGUCCACACUACAGACUUGCCUCUCUGUUCUUUAGGAUAUGGCUUUUAUGAGACCUAAGUUGCAUACACCAUGCAAUCACUAGAGGGUUUCCUUGUCUCCAAAUGCAAUCCCUCCAUUCUCAGGGAGAGCAGCACAUGGUGCUGAGACCCCACGCUGUGGUCCUGCAAGUGCCAGGCUGUCUCACUGCUCAUGUUAUUAAUUACCUGCCUUAGCAGUGACUGCUGGGAUUUUUGGUCUGCUUCCAUAUUUCUCCAUUUAUAACUAAAUAAUCCGAGCAAAGAUACUUCAAGUUAGUGAAUAUCUUUGAUGCAGUGGUUUUAGCACCCCUGACACUCUUUACCUGAAUUAUUAUUGGUGGUUAUAAAAUGAUAUAAUUUUCUAAUUAUUUCAAUGUAGAGAGCACUUAACAUUAAGCCUAAUUAAUAAAUAAAUUAUCUUGGAUGUUUGGAGAAGUUAAGAGAAUCAAAAGAGGAGGCAAAUGUUUUGAUAGGUAUUGAAGAGUAAGAUGUACUAACAGCAGUAAACAGAUAACAUGAGAAGCAAACACAGACCAUGUGUUCCUUAACCAAAAUUCUAAAGUGUUGAGGACCAAAGGAGAUUCAGGUUUUAGAAAUGUUUGUGUAGAAUAUUCUCUUUAACACUUUAGUGGUUAAAAAUCCCUGAUCUAAAAGAAAAAAAUUAAAUUCUCCAAAAUCUAAAACUUCACUGGCAACCAACACUGAGGAGUGAAUACAGGUUCUGAGUGUACUAAGCAUGAGGUCUAUCACUGAGGUCCACCCCUAAAAUCAACUCAACUUUUUUUUUUUUUUUUGAGGCUAAGGAAUGUGCCUCUCAUUUACUAUCCAAGUUGGUUUGUUUUGUUUGCUUGCUUGUAAUCAUGCCACCACACCCAACUUCCUGGUGAUCCUGAUGCCAUCAAGACUCCAAAAUGGCUGGUAGUAUACACCAGCAUAUCUGGCUCAGAGUAUAUAUCACCAUAUCCAGCAAUGCAGUUUAAGUUCCUGUCAGUACUAAAGUUUCAGACUUCAGAGAAUUUCUAAUUUUUGGACAAGGGAUACCCAAACUGUAUAGUAAAAUACCAAAU